rnacentral:lncRNA from 1 species
UAGCUUAAAGAUAUAACAUUGACUCUAAACAGGUAAGUAAGUGUUUGGGCAGCGGGUUACAUUCAUGUGGUUAUAUAAACAAACAAAGGGUACAGGCUCAAACGGGAUUAACAAAGGAUAAUAUUAAAGGGAUGGCUAGAAAGACUCAUGUCUAUUAUUCAAACAACGUGCCUCAAUGUGUGUAUAUAUACAAUGAUAUUCCCAGAGAACCUACGCAAAGUCAGAGUGAU